CUCAGAGCGCGGUCGCACCACCGAGCGCACGGAGACGUCAAGUAGUCCCUGAGAGCGACCUGAUUCAGAGAAUUCCAGCUGCCAGAGGCUGUCGGGAGUUGGAACUCCGAAAAGACUGGGAACAGCUCUCUGGCCUGGGGAGCUCUGGGAAAGAGGUACAGCAAGCAAGUUCUUCUAAUGCCUGGUCCUCAGGGAAGCCUACAGAGAGAGGCAAUUCGGGAAAUCCUGGUUUAGAGCAGAGCUGCUUCUUAGUAGCUCCCUAUGGAAGAGGGAUUCUUGCAAAUGAC
ensembl:lncRNA